CGUCUAUAAGUGAGUAGUCUUUUAAAUUAUUAAAAGACGAGAGAAGAGUAUGAGAGAUUCAAGAAAGAGGGCUCGGAUUGUAGCUACUCUAUGAAGAAGAGGAGUCAGGUGUAAUUUUCUAUUAUUUAAUGAAUCUUAUUUUAUCCGCAUAUUUUUCUCUUUUAUGAUUGUAUCAGCUUUUGCUGAGGAGACUGGUUUAUGACAAAAACCCGAUUCGACGCUUCCGUUGCGUAAUCCCAACAAUCGAUACCAAAUCCACAACAGUCAGUAUCGGAGCGGGUUGCGGGUUCACAAGAUCCGGUACCGGGAUGAGUAUCAGAUUCCCAACAUUACCAACCAGUUAUUUAUAUUCAGCAAAAUUUUAGCUACUAUUAUAACAAACCAACUUAUUCCUCUCCUAAAACCCUAACUUCAAGUCCACCACUAGCAAACUAUCCCAACUUAUAUGAUCUUUAAUUCUUUGCUAUCGAUAUCAACAAACCCACUCCUAUUCAAGCUCAAACUAAUCCUCCCGUGCUGCCAAAACCUUACUAUCCAUCCUCUCCUGAUCCACCACAAAUUCCGCACACUCCUAUCUUCUUACAACCUAUCUUCGUCAAAUUCAAGUUCUCAAGCUUCAGGAGACUUAAAAUCGCAUUAUUAUCGAUAU
rnacentral:lncRNA from 1 species